UAUAAUUCUAAGAAGAGAAAGAGUAAGUAAUAUUUUUGUUCUACAGAAAGUUAGCGGGUGAUGAAAGCUAAUGUGCGAUAUAUAACCGAAGAUCAUCUCAGAGAAGUGAAGCUGAAAUUUUAUGAAAAUUGAGUAAGUUUCAACGGAGUUUCACCGUUAAAAGAAAAGCGUAUUAUUUAGUACGUAUUAGAGUGCUAUAAAAUGAUUUUAAUAUAUUAUCAUAUCAUUUUAUAGAAUUAGGGUGGUAUCGCGAUUUAACCUCGUCCCUUUG
rnacentral:ncRNA from 1 species